rnacentral:rRNA from 1 species
GGUCAAGUUAUUAAGGGUGCAGGGCGGAUGCCUUGGCACUAGGAGCCGAUGAAGGACGUGAUAAGCUGCGAUAAGCUUCGGGGAGUUGCACGUAAACUUUGAUCCGAAGAUUUCCGAAUGAGGAAACUCACUUAGAGUAAUGUCUAAGUAUCAUUAAGUGAAUACAUAGCUUAAUGAGGGGAACUCAGGGAACUGAAACAUCUAAGUACCUGAAGGAAGAGAAAGAAAUUCGAUUCCGUAAGUAGCGGCGAGCGAACGCGGAUUAGCCCAAACCAAUAAAGUUUUCUUUAUUGGGGUUGCGGACAUAUCAUAACGAAGAGGUAUCGUAAUUGAAGAGGUUUGGAAAGACCCACCACAGAAGGUAAUAGUCCUGUAUGUUAAACGAGAAGACUUCAGAUAUGAUCCAGAGUACCACGGGACACGUGAAACCCUGUGGGAAGCAGGAGGGACCACCCUCCAAGGCUAAAUACUACCUAGUGACCGAUAGCGUAUAGUACCGUGAGGGAAAGGUGAAAAGAACCCCGGGAGGGGAGUGAAAUAGAACCUGAAACCCUGCACUUACAAGCUGUGGAAGCACAUUUCUUGUGUGACCGCGUACUUUUUGUAGAACGGGCCAACGAGUUACGUUAAGUAGCAAGGUUAAGCACUUAAGGUGCGGAGCCGUAGCGAAAGCGAGUUUUAACUGAGCGUUCAGUUACUUGACGUAGACCCGAAACCGGGCGACCUACCCAUGAGCAGGAUGAAGCGAAAGUAAAAUUUCGUGGAGGUCCGAACCCACGAGCGUUGAAAAGCUCGGGGAUGACUUGUGGGUAGCGGUGAAAUUCCAAUCGAGCCCGGAGAUAGCUGGUUCUCCCCGAAAUAGCUUUAGGGCUAGCCUCAAGGUGAGAGAUACGGAGGUAGAGCACUGAAUGUCCUAGGGGGUAUUGCACCUACCGAAGACUAUCAAACUCCGAAUGCCGUCAUCUUAUACUUGGGAGUCAGACUGUGGGUGAUAAGAUUCAUAGUCGAAAGGGCAACAGCCCAGAUCGUCAGCUAAGGUCCCUAAAUGUAAGUUAAGUGGUAAAGGAUGUGGGAUUGCACAGACAACCAGGAUGUUGGCUUAGAAGCAGCCACUCAUUCAAAGAGUGCGUAAUAGCUCACUGGUCGAGUGAUCCUGCGCCGAAGAUUUCCGGGGCUAAAACUUACUACCGAAGCUACGGCAUCAGUAAUGAUGGGUAGGGGAGCUUCCCAUACGGGUUGAAGCAUGACCGUAAGGACAUGUGGACAGUAUGGGAGUGAGAAUGUUGGCAUGAGUAGCGAGAUGUGGGUGAGAAUCCCACAGGCCGUAAACCCAAGGUUUCCAGGGGAAGGUUCGUCCGCCCUGGGUUAGUCGGGACCUAAGCUGAGGCCGAAAGGCGUAGGUGAUGGACAACAGGUUGAUAUUCCUGUACUACCGAUAACCGUUUGAGAGAAGGGAUGACACAGUAGGAUAAGCUAAGCACACUGUUGGUUAUGUGUGCCCAAGCAUUGAGGCAGUCAAAGUAGGCAAAUCCGCUUUGAUAAUGCUGGGAUGUGAUGGGGAGCGAAAUUUAGUAGCGAAGUAGCUGAUUUCACACUGUCAAGAAAAGUCUCUAUCGAGGUUAAAGGUACCCGUACCGCAAACCGACACAGGUGGGUGAGGAGAGUAUCCUAAGGCCAGCGAGAGAACUGUUGUUAAGGAACUCGGCAAAAUGACCCCGUAACUUAGGGAUAAGGGGUGCCACCAUCAGGUGGCCGCAGAGAAUAGGCCCAAGCGACUGUUUACCAAAAACAUAGGUUUCUGCUAAGUCGCAAGACGAUGUAUAGGAGCUGACGCCUGCCCGGUGCUGGAAGGUUAAGGGGAUCUGUUAGAGCAAUCGAAGCAGUGAACUUAAGCCCCAGUAAACGGCGGCCGUAACUAUAACGGUCCUAAGGUAGCGAAAUUCCUUGUCGGGUAAGUUCCGACCCGCACGAAAGGCGUAACGAUUUGGGCACUGUCUCAACAACAGACUCGGUGAAAUUGUAAUUCCGGUGAAGAUGCCGGAUACCUGCGACAGGACGGAAAGACCCCAUGGAGCUUUACUGUAGCUUGACAUUGGGUCUUGGUACUACAUGUACAGGAUAGGUGGGAGGCUUUGAAACCAGGACGCCAGUUUUGGCGGAGCCAUCCUUGGGAUACCACCCUUGUAGUACUGGGACUCUAACCAUAGGCCAUGAAUC